GGCGGCGUAGCUCAGGUGGUUAGAGCGUGGGAUUCAUAACCCCAAGGUCAGUGGUUCAAGUCCACUCGCCGCUACCA
rnacentral:tRNA from 1 species